ensembl:lncRNA
CGCGAGGCUGAGCAGAUGGAGGAACAAUGCCGCCUCCAGAAGCGAAGCCUCGCCUGAGCCCUUGAGAGCGCGGAGCAGCCGCGGCCAGCCUCCUGCUCUCUCCCCAGGCCCUCCGGCUCCAUCUCGGGUGGCUUCCGCCUCGUAGUUUGACAGAAAUAAGAAAGUUGCUCUUCUUCUCCACAACGUCUCCUGCGAGGUGCUUUUCAGAUCCGCGUGGUUCCAGUCAAGAUGUCACUUUUAGAUCCCCCGCGUUGAGCAACUAAUACAUUAUGCAGUAUUGGGCAAUAAACUCUCCCGGGAAGAGAAGGUAGUCCAAACAUUUAAACUGCUCUCCACUGACUCCUGUCUGCCUCAGGACAAUGCCUUCCUCAUGCUUAUCAAAUUCCAGAUGAUGCAAAACUAGAAUUCAUCAUCCUCUUUCAAUGUACUCCUGG